rnacentral:rRNA from 1 species
AUGAGACCGCGCUGCUGCUCACCGGCCCGUGCCGCGCCGCCCGCGCUGCUCGCCGAAGUAGGAGGCGCCGGAGGGUGGAGUCAUCAGAGGGAGGAGGCAGCGCCGCGCUGCUCACCGGCCCGUGCCGUGCCGCCCACGCUGCUCGCCGGAGUGAGGAGGCGCCGGAGGGAGGAGUCGUCAGAGGGAGGAGGCCGCACCGCGCUGCUCGCCGGAGUGAGGAGGCGCCGGAGGGAGGAGUCGUCAGAGGGAGGAGGCCGCGUCGCGCUGCUCGCCGGAGUGAGGAGGCGUCGGAGGGAGGAGGCGCUAGAGCUUGCUGGCCGGUGCCGUGCCGCCCGCGUCUCCUUCUCUCCUCGCCUGCGCCGCUUGAUCUUGCCGCUGUAG